rnacentral:lncRNA from 1 species
AUAUGUUCAAUAUUACCUAGGCCUGUAGAAUGCAGUUCUCUACCGUGGCUUUGUCAUGGGGUAUGUAAGAAAUAAUAAGUCUGACUGAAGGCAAAAGUACCUCAGAAGUAUGAUCUCAGAUCGAAUAUUGUAUUUAGAUGGUCUCCAAAUUUCAAAGAGGAAGAUGACUAUAGAAAAACUGCAAAUACUUUUCACGGCAAGAGUAUCGUUUUCUCCAAUCUCGUUAAUUUUGGAGUAUAGGCAUGGGUUUCUCUGUUUAUUAUACCAAGAAUUUUAUUUUAGGACUCUAACCAGCAGAAAUUAAAAUUAACCCCAGAAAACCAAAUCAAAUACUAGCAACUUUAGGGUUUAAAUACUACCCCCUUACUUGAAAGAAUGAAAAAGAAAAAAGAAAAAAAUACACACGCAUACAUAAAACUGAUAGAUCUGAAUGUACAAAACUAUACAUGCGCAACAACAGUAUAUUCAAUUCGAAACUCUAACUACAAACCCAUAAAUUCAAAACUCUAGCUACAAAAACAUACGCACAUAAAUCAUCAUCAUUCAAGAAAUUCGAAAAAUACCAGAAAAAUAUUGAAAAUCGAGAAACUGAGGUCUAGAUCUGGAUUUGCUUACCUUUGAUCAUACAACCAUGAAGCAAGUUGAAGAGAUCAAGACACCGAGUUCAGAGCUCCUUCAGAGAUUCGACACAGUUCUUCUAACCUUUGAAGAUCAAAUUUCAAAGCUUUGAUUCUCGGCUCCUCUAAGAGAGGUUUGUUGCCCACAGAGAGAUUUCAGAGCUUCGAUGUGUUUGAGAGUGCUAUAAGCUUCGAUGUGUUCUGUUUUUGACAAAAAAACAAACAAAAGUAGAAUAUAAAAAGACUUAAAAAGGACUUGGGCAAAUAGAAGAGGGAAAGUGGGGAGGGAACUGAAAACCGUCUCUAUAGCUAAUAUUUUUAAUGAACCGUUGUUGUUGAGGAAUUUAGUGGAACGAUU